rnacentral:tRNA from 1 species
GAGGGUAUAGCUUGGUGGCAGAGUGCGUGCUUAGCAUGCACGUGGUCCUGGGUUCAAUCCCCAGUACCUCUG